GGGGACUGAACAUCGUUCACCGAAUACACUUUGUGAUGAAAAACACAUACUUCUUGGAUUUGUGUUUUGGAAACCUGUGACAGUACCUGCUGAAGUUCACCGAUCUCAUGGCGUAAAUAAUCCUCCUUUCUGGCAGCCGCUUGUUCUGUACGCUGCAAUGCAAGCCUAAGGUCCCCCACCUGUAGGAGGAGAAACAAUACAUUCACAAACAAUGGUACAGUAUUAUCUAUAACUUCCCACUAACUACAUAUUUUGUGUUGUGUCAACAUUGUUCAUGUAUACUAUUUCAUACUCUCCAAUGAACUUUUACAUAUGAUUAUCACAUCUCUCAUUCAUCAAGCAAUUCUAAAACUGUAUGUAUAUUCAAUGUUUACUUAGAAAAGCAUUCUGUUAAGGCAAAGAAACGCAAACAAAUAUGUAUAAGGCAUAGCCAUUACCAUACAAUAUUGGAGAAAAGACAGUGCGUCUAUAAAUAUUUGCCACAUCACACAGAAAGUGAUAGGUGCUAUACGGAUUAUAAAAG
ensembl:lncRNA EOGT-DT EOGT divergent transcript